rnacentral:tRNA from 1 species
GGAUUGUGGCUCAGCGGUAGAGUGCUCUUUUAGCAAGGGAGGGACCUGGGUUCGAUUCUCAGCACCA